CUAGCCUAGGACGGACCACGGUUCGAUCCCCCGGCUGCCCCAUAUGGUCCCCCAAGCCAGGAGCGACUUCUGAGCGCAUAGCCAGGAGGAACCCCUGAGUAUCACCGGGUGUGGCCCAAAAACCAAAAAAAAAAAAAAAAGAA